CCUACGUGUGGCUGCAGUAGGGAAUCUUUCUCAAUGGGCGAAACCCUGAAGCAGCAACGCCGCGUGGGUGAUGAAGGUUUUCGGAUUGUAAACCUCUUUUGUUAGAGAAGAUAAUGACUGUAUCUAACGAAUCAGCACCGGCUAACUCCGUGCCAGCAGCCGAGGUAAUACGAAGGGUGCAAGCGUUCCUCGGAAUUACUGGGCGUAAAGAGCGCGUAGGCGGGUUGGCAAGUCAGAUGUGAAAUCCUAUGGCUGAACCAUAGAACUGGAUUUGAAACUUGUAAUCUAGAGUAUAGGAGAGGUAGGUGGAAUUGGUGGUGUAGAGGUAAAAUGCGUAGAGAUCAAGAGGAACACUCAUUGCGAAGGCGACCUGCUAGAACGUAACUGACGCUGAUGCGCGAAAGCGUGGGGAGCAAACAGGAUUAGAUACCCUGGUAGUC
rnacentral:rRNA from 1 species